ACUCCUACGGGAGGCAGCAGUAGGGAAUCUUCCACAAUGGACGAAAGUCUGAUGGAGCAACGCCGCGUGAGUGAUGAAGGUUUUCGGAUCGUAAAACUCUGUUGUAAGGGAAGAACACGUACGAGAGGGAAUGCUCGUACCUUGACGGUACCUUACGAGAAAGCCACGGCUAACUACGUGCCAGCAGCCGCGGUAAU
rnacentral:rRNA from 1 species